rnacentral:rRNA from 1 species
UGGCGCGGGAUUAGAGUUUGAUCCUGGCUCAGGACGAACACUGGCGGCGUGCUUAACACAUGCAAGUCGAACGGAAAGGCCCUGCUUUUGUGGGGUGCUCGAGUGGCGAACGGGUGAGUAACACGUGAGUWACCUGCCCUUGACUUUGGGAUAACUUCAGGAAACUGGGGCUAAUACCGGAUAGGAGCUCCUGCUGCAUGGUGGGGGUUGGAAAGUUUCGGCGGUUGGGGAUGGACUCGCGGCUUAUCAGCUUGUUGGUGGGGUAGUGGCUUACCAAGGCUUUGACGGGUAGCCGGCCUGAGAGGGUGACCGGCCACAUUGGGACUGAGAUACGGCCCAGACUCCUACGGGAGGCAGCAGUGGGGAAUAUUGCACAAUGGGCGGAAGCUGAUGCAGCAACGCCGCGUGCGGGAUGACGGCCUUCGGGUUGUAAACCGCUUUCGCCUGUKACGAAGCGUGAGUUACGGUAAUGGGUAAAGAAGCACCGGCUAACUACGUGCCAGCAGCCGCGGUGAUACGUAGGGUGCGAGCGUUGUCCGGAUUUAUUGGGCGUAAAGGGCUCGUAGGUGGUUGAUCGCGUCGGAAGUGUAAUCUUGGGGCUUAACCCUGAGCGUGCUUUCGAUACGGGUUGACUUGAGGAAGGUAGGGGAGAAUGGAAUUCCUGGUGGAGCGGUGGAAUGCGCAGAUAUCAGGAGGAACACCAGUGGCGAAGGCGGUUCUCUGGGCCUUUCCUGACGCUGAGGAGCGAAAGCGUGGGGAGCGAACAGGCUUAGAUACCCUGGUAGUCCACGCUGUAAACGGUGGGUACUAGGUGUGGGGUCCAUUCCACGGGUUCCGUGCCGUAGCUAACGCUUUAAGUACCCCGCCUGGGGAGUACGGCCGCAAGGCUAAAACUCAAAGGAAUUGACGGGGCCCCGCACAAGCGGCGGAGCAUGCGGAUUAAUUCGAUGCAACGCGUAGAACCUUACCUGGGUUUGACAUGGAUCGGGAGUGCUCAGAGAUGGGUGUGCCUCUUUUGGGGUCGGUUCACAGGUGGUGCAUGGCUGUCGUCAGCUCGUGUCGUGAGAUGUUGGGUUAAGUCCCGCAACGAGCGCAACCCUUGUUCACUGUUGCCAGCACGUUAUGGUGGGGACUCAGUGGAGACCGCCGGGGUCAACUCGGAGGAAGGUGGGGAUGACGUCAAGUCAUCAUGCCCCUUAUGUCCAGGGCUUCACGCAUGCUACAAUGGCUGGUACAGAGAGUGGCGAGCCUGUGAGGGUGAGCGAAUCUCGGAAAGCCGGUCUCAGUUCGGAUUGGGGUCUGCAACUCGACCUCAUGAAGUCGGAGUCGCUAGUAAUCGCAGAUCAGCAACGCUGCGGUGAAUACGUUCCCGGGGCUUGCACUCACCGCCCGUC